rnacentral:rRNA from 1 species
UGGCUAACUCCUACGGGAGGCAGCAGUGGGGAAUAUUGGACAAUGGGCGAAAGCCUGAUCCAGCAAUGCCGCGUGAGUGAUGAAGGCCUUAGGGUUGUAAAGCUCUUUUACCCGGGAUGAUAAUGACAGUACCGGGAGAAUAAGCCCCGGCUAACUCCGUGCCAGCAGCCGCGGUAAUACGGAGGGGGCUAGCGUUGUUCGGAAUUACUGGGCGUAAAGCGCACGUAGGCGGCUUUGCAAGUUAGAGGUGAAAGCCCGGGGCUCAACUCCGGAAUUGCCUUUAAAACUGCAUCGCUAGAAUUGUGGAGAGGUAAGUGGAAUUCCGAGUGUAGAGGUGAAAUUCGUAGAUAUUCGGAAGAACACCAGUGGCGAAGGCGACUUACUGGACACAUAUUGACGCUGAGGUGCGAAAGCGUGGGGAGCAAACAGGAUUAGAAACCCUGGUAGUCCAGCUGG